rnacentral:rRNA from 1 species
GAUGAACGCUAGCGGCAGGCCUAACACAUGCAAGUCGAGGGAGAAGCCCUUUCGGGGGCAGAAACCGGCGCACGGGUGCGUAACGCGUAUGCAACCUACCUUUCACAGGGGGAUAGCCCGAAGAAAUUUGGAUUAAUACCCCAUAAUAUUGUUGGAUGGCAUCAUUUGGCAAUUAAAACUGAGGUGGUGAAAGAUGGGCAUGCGUCCUAUUAGCUAGUUGGAGUGGUAACGGCACCCCAAGGCUACGAUAGGUAGGGGUCCUGAGAGGGAGAUCCCCCACACUGGUACUGAGACAGGGACCAGACUCCUACGGGAGGCAGCAGUGAGGAAUAUUGGUCAAUGGUCGGAAGACUGAACCAGCCAUGCCGCGUGCAGGAAGAAUGCCUUAUGGGUUGUAAACUGCUUUUAUAUGGGAAGAAUAAGGCGUACGUGUACGUUGAUGACGGUACCAUAUGAAUAAGCAUCGGCUAACUCCGUGCCAGCAGCCGCGGUAAUACGGAGGAUGCGAGCGUUAUUCGGAAUCAUUGGGUUUAAAGGGUCUGUAGGCGGGCUAUUAAGUCAGGGGUGAAAGGUUUCAGCUUAACUGAGAAAUUGCCUUUGAUACUGGUAGUCUUGAAUAUCUGUGAAGUUCUUGGAAUGUGUAGUGUAGCGGUGAAAUGCUUAGAUAUUACACAGAACACCGAUUGCGAAGGCAGGGGACUAACAGACAAUUGACGCUGAGAGACGAAAGCGUGGGGAGCGAACAGG